GAUGAACGCUGGCGGCGUGCCUAAUACAUGCAAGUCGAGCGGUAAGGCUCCUGCAGUUUAUUUGAUUAUGAUUGCGCUCGCAGAGUAAACCAGUUUACUGGUGUGCGAAGCGAAGGCAAUCACAACAGACCCAAUCAACCCCGGCUAGGGAAGAGACGGCGAGGGAAAAUCGAAUGAAGUGCUGGAGUACACGAGCGGCGGACGGCUGAGUAACGCGUAGGAACGUACCCCAAACUGAGGGGUAAGCACCAGAAAUGGUGUCUAAUACCGCAUGUGCUCUAAGGAGUAAAGCUUCGGCGGUUUGGGAACGGCCUGCGUACGAUUAGAUUGUUGGUGAGGUAAUGGCUCACCAAGUCGACGAUCGUUAGCUGGUCUGAGAGGAUGAUCAGCCAGACUGGGACUGAGAACGGCCCAGACUCCUACGGGAGGCAGCAGUAGGGAAUUUUCCACAAUGGACGAAAGUCUGAUGGAGCAACGCCGCGUG
rnacentral:rRNA from 1 species